AUCUACAGCACCUUUUGUUUGCUUCAGAAUGGUUGAGUGCGGUGUACUGUUAGAUGCCCCUAAGCCCUCUCUGCCCCAUGCUGAACCAUCCCAGCCCCACAGACCCUCCUCACAGGAUGAGCGCUCCAGCCCCACCAUCCUAUGGGCCUUCACUGAGCGUCUCUGGCUUAUGGCACCCCAGAUGUGAUGUAGGGCCUGGAUGAGGCCCUGAUGGGUGCUGAACAGAAGGGCCUCCUGCUGCUAGGGCAGGCUGCCUGCUGCUCCUACUCCAAUCGCAUGGUGUCCUCAUUGGCCGCUUCCUUCAACACGCUCUUUAUUUAUGUAUAAAUAUUUGCCUAAACUGUAUUUUUUUAAAAAGUGUUUCUGCUGACGUAUAAGCCAGCAUGUUUAAGCCAUACCAUCCGUAAAUUCAUGCUUGCAUUUGUUGAGUUAGUGAGGUGAGACCGAUUCCCCACAUCUCUUAAAUCAGUACUGCUCUGACUCGUGUAGUCCAGACCAUAACACAGCUCUGAUCCUUCUGGGAAUGUCUCCUGGUGGUGGCAAAUUAUGUUUAGACUUAGAACCACUAUGGCUGGAAAAGACUUAAGAUCAUCAAGUCCAACCACCAGCCCAUCUUCACCAUGCCCACUAACCAUGUCCCUCAGUGCCACAUCUACAUGGUUCUUGAACACCUCCAGGGAUGGCAUCCAUUACAUGGAUUUGAGCUGUGGUUCCUCUUGUUAACAGGAAUGAAGAUAGCCUAGUGGGGCUGAUGGCCACUUCAGAGGGGGGGAUGCUGCAGCAGUACUGAUGCUAAAGCUGAAUGUACGUGGAAAGAAUCAAGGACAGCUUUAAGACACACUUUUGCAUGCGCACUUGGGUGAGGAUAUGAUCACAGCUGAAUUGCACAAACCUGUUUCAGACUACAUUAAAAGACACCGAAGUGUUUAUCAUGGCAAUUUGGAACCAGAAUUCUUUCUGAGCUGAAAAAAACGCUGCACCCUAAUGAAAACAAAAGCAAGACCACAAAAUGACACCACCAACACUAAAACAACAACAACGAGAAAACCUUCAAUUAUGUUUCUCCUGUUAAGAGGCUUUAGCUGGACAGUACCGGAGAUGUAGGCUGUUUGCUGAAGACAGAGAUGCAGCUGGUUCCUUCUCCUCAUCCCAUCCUGCCUCUUUCCAGCAGCCAGUUCAGCUGUGGCUUGGUGCUGGAACCUCUUCUCUAGCGAGGCAAAAGCAAUGUGAUGGAGGCCUCUAGUCUGGUUUGCCAAGUACGUGGUACAGCUACGUCACCAGCCGCACUUUGGUCUGGGCUGCAACCAGGACUGAAGUCACGAUGGGUUCAUCCAGUUUCAUUCCGGGAUGGUUGAAGAAGAACAAGUCAAAAACUUCUGACAAAUAUCAAAAAAUCCUUGUGUUGUCAGAAUGAAAUGUAUGGCUGCUUCAAAAGGUAGGAUAAAAAAUUUAUGUUUUGACUUUUUAAUUUCAUAUAAUGUAUUAUAAUGUAAAAUAAAAAACUAGGUCAAAAUUAAUUUCAUACUAGCACAAGCUAGUGGAGUUUUACCUGUAGGCUGUAAUUUUUUUCAAAGUGAAAGGUUUCAUAUAUGUGUAAGGAGAUACCGCUCUCUCUUUUUGUGAUUUUUCUUAUCAGUCUCAUUAUGCCUUUGUGUGAUCCUUCUUUGUGCUGUACCUUACAUAUUGCUAGCAUUUAUUCCUUGUAGUACACAAAUGCUGAUUAUUAAAAGUUUUCAAAGCAUUUUUCAUUUUUAGUAUUACUUCUCUCCUUUUCUAAAACCUCCCUAGGAAUUACAGGUUGGGUAUGACUUGGAAAAUUCUCUUGUUUUGAAGCUUUAAGCAGUGCCGUUUGAUUAGUUUGUGGCUGUUAAGAGUGCAAACUGUCCAAUCCAACAUAGUGACUGAGCCUUCCUCAUGAUCUUGUAAGAAUGCAUCAGUUCCCAGAGGUGCAUAACUCAGAUCUCUUCACUGAUGAAUAGGAAAACCCUGCUGCUGCUUCUGUUACCCUGCAUUAGCAAGAGAAAGAAACAAGUAAGAUGGGAAAAAAAAAAGAAAAAAAAAGAGAAGGAGAAAAUGACCUGCAAAACUGAUGAUGAUACGGAACAAGAAAGAAUAAAAGGAGAAAAUAUUAACAACUGGUCUGAAUAGCCUUUCUUUAUGCUACUUGGAGCUGCUUUUUUUUGUUGUUUGUUUGUUUGUUUGUGGCUUUUUUUUUUAAUGGUGGAAGAAUGUUUAACAUCAGUUAUAACAAAGGUUCUCUUUUUUUUUUUUUUUUAAUUCACUGUUUCUUUAAGGAGUCUUGCUCUUAAUCCAUUAGCAGUCAUUUCUUCCAGCUAGGUGCAAUAGUCAGUUGUUAGUGCACAUUUUGACCAUCCAUCUUCAAUUAUCCAUUAAUGCUUUCUCACACGGUGCACAGAAGGCAUGCACCGAUGGCUAAUGCACAUUCUGUUGGUUGCACUUCAGUGGUCUUUCAUCUUUUCCUGUUGAAGCAGUCGUCAUCUACCUGCCUGAGGUGUAAGUGUGCACUGAAGUCAGUGGGAGAAGAGUGAUGCAUGCUGCUGGUUCCCAGUUCUCCCACAGAUGUUCUGGAUGCCCUUGGGUGUCGCGCUUACAGCGCUGUCUGCCUCAGUCCGUAUCUGUUGAGAAGCGAUGAUGGUAUUUCCUUUGUCUGCUUACCCUGCAGACCAGCUCUUUAAGGACUGUGACCUCCUGAAGCCUCAUAAUAUUACUGUACUAUAAGACAAGAAUAGUUUUCUUAAUUUAAUUUUUAAUUGAAGGUUUUUUAUUCAGUUUAAAAUGUGAAGAUUUUUAUCGCGUUAUGGCUAUCCGUAAAGAUGACCAGUGUAUUCAUGUGGCACGUACUGAUUGGUAUCCUAUAUUUAUUUUGACUUUCCAGGCUGAAAGGUGAUGACCUUCAUCUUAUCCAUGGAAAUUUUUAGAGCAGUGCUCAUGCUUUUCUUGCUGCAAAACAUACCAAACAUUAGUUAAAGCUGUAAAGGAGAUGAACAGUGUAUUGGGACCGUGCUGCUCUGCUAUCAUCUGGUAUAAUGGUUUUCUUUUUGCCAUUUAAGAUUAAAACACAUAUGGAACUU
rnacentral:lncRNA from 7 species